rnacentral:tRNA from 1 species
GGUCCCAUAGCUCAGCUGGAUAGAGCGUCGCCCUCCGAAGGCGAAGGUCAUUGGUUCGAAUCCAAUUGGGAUCACCA